AGUUUCAACUAUUAGAUCAAAAUCUAAUGGAUAAGAUUUUAUAAAUUUAUUUUUUAUAUAUAUUUAAUCUAAUCUUUUUUAAUUUAUUGUUCGUUGACCAGCUCGUGAGCCAGCUCGUAUUCGGCUUGUUAAUAAACGAACCGAACACGAGCUGAAUUUUUCGGCUUGAUACUUUAACGAGUCAGCUCAUGUUCGGCUCGUUUAAUAAACGAGCCGACCCCAACUCGC
rnacentral:lncRNA from 1 species